UACGUAGGGGGCAAGCGUUGUCCGGAGUUACUGGGCGUAAAGCGCACGCAGGCGGUCUCUUAAGUUUGGAGUGACAGUUGGUGGCUUAACUGCCAAAGUGCUUCGAAAACUGAGAGACUUGAGGGCUUCAGAGGGACACGGAAUUCCGGGUGGAGUGGUGAAAUGCGUAGAGAUCCGGAGGAACACCAAAGGCGAAGGCAGUUAGCUGGGCAGUUGCUGACACUGAGGCGCGACAGCGUGGGGAGCAAACAGG
rnacentral:rRNA from 1 species